rnacentral:ncRNA from 1 species
UGGAACAAUGUAGGUGAGGGAAGUCGGCAAGCCAGAUCCGUAAGUAACUUCGGGAUAAGGAUUGGCCCUAAGGGCUGUGUCGGUUGGGCUGGGGCGCAAAGCCCAGCUGGGUGCGCGCCGAGGCUGGAGGAGGCUCUGCCACCCCCACACCCACCCCGCCUGGGACACCCCUGCCGAGCCCGCCCCCAUAGCCCUCUGCCCCAUCCUGCCUGUCUCCCCUAACUCACCUCUCUACACUUCCCCUCCCAGGGUGGGGGCAGGGGGAGGUGGGAUGGAGGGGAGACCCCCACAGGGACCCACUGGGGCCCACAGGGGCCCAGGCCUCUGGGGGACCAGCGGUGGCAGCAGCAACACUGGACGCAAGUGGAGCCCUUCCCAUAGAUUGUCUCAGCUGUGCUGGGUGUCCUGGGCACACCCAGGGAGCCCAGCAGGCCUCACCACACACUUGUGGGGCAGGCGCAGGCGACGACGGGAGUCCCAGCCCCUGUCUUCCCCCGCCCCCCGCCCCCCCUUGCUACUGAGGUGGUCGGCCUGCCGGUCCCCCCACCGGGUCCACCCCCAGGCCACAGUUAUGCAUGUCGCCUGGCCUCAGCUGGCGCCUAGCAGCCGACUUAGAACUGGUGUGGACCAGGGGAGUCCGACAGCUUAAUUAAAACAGCAUCGCGAAGGCCCGCGGUGGGUGUUGACCGAUGUGAUUUCUGCCCAGUGCUCAGAAUGUCAAAGUGAAGAAAUUGAAUGAAGCGCGGGUAAGGGGAUCCCUGGGUGGCUCAGCGGUUUAGCACCUGCCUUUGGCCCAGGGCGCGAUCCUGGAGUCCCAGGAUCAAGUUCCGCGUUGGGAUCCUGGCGUGGAGCCUGCUUCUCCCUCCUCCUGUGUCUCUGCUUCUCUCUCUCUCUGUCUAUCAUAAAUAAAUAAAUAAAUCUUAAAAAAAAAAAAGCGCGGGCAAACGACGGGAGUAAAUAUGACUCUUAAGGCAGCCAAAUGCCUCGUAAUCUAAUUAGUGAUGCACAGGAAUGGAUACACAAGAUUCCCACUGUCCCUACCUACUAUCUGGUGAAAUCACAACCAAGGGAACAGACCUGGCAGAAUCAGCAGGGAAAGAAGACCCUGUUGAGCUUGACUCUAGUUUGGCAUGGUGAAGAGACAUGGGAGGUGUAGAAUAAGUGGGAGGCCCCCAGCACCCAUCUGUCCCUGCAAGGGGACUGGAUGAUGUCUGCCAGCCUUGUAGGACUCCAUUGAAAUACCACUACUCUUACUGUUUUUUUGCUGAUCCCGUGAGGCAGUGGUGCGAGCCCCCAAGGGGCUCUCACUUCUGGCGCCAAGUGCCUGUCCAUACUGGCUGGGUGCAACCCGCUCCAGGGACAGUACCAGGUAGGGAGUUUGACUGGGGCUGUACACCCGUCAAAUGGUAACACAGGUGUCCUAAGGCGAGCUCAGGGAGGACAGAAAUCUCCUGGGGAGCAGAAGGGCAAAAGCUCACUUGAUCUUGAUUUCCAAGACAAAUACAGACCAUGAAAGCAGGGCCUGACGAUCCUUCUGACCUUUUGAGUUUUAAGAGGAGGUGUCAGAAAAGUUACCACAGGGAUAACUAGCUUGUGGCAGCCAAGCCAGUCGCUUUUUGAUCCUUUGAUGUCGGCUCUUCCUACCAUUGUGAAGCAGAAUUCACCAAGCGUUGGAUUGUUCACUCACUAAUAGGGAACAUGAGCUGGGUUUAGACAGUCAUGAGACAGGUUAGUUUUACCCUACUGAGGAUGUGUAGUUCAGGGUCCUCCCAGAGGAUGUGUUGUUGCUGUGGUAAUCCUGCUCAGUACGAGAGGAACCACAGGUUCAGACAUUUGGUGUAUGUGCUUGGCUGAGAAGCCAGUGGGGUGAAGCUACCAUCUGUGGGAUUAGGACUGUGAACGCCUCUAAGUCAGAAUCCCACCCAGGCACAAUGAUAAGGCAGCACAAUGGGGCCUCGGUUGGCCUCGGAUAGCUGGUCCCUGACAUCCCUGCCAGCUGGCAGCAGUGAGCACCCGGCAUGGCAUGGCGUGCCCAGCCCUGCACCAGGACCUGGAUCUGGCGCAGAGAGCCCCACGUCCUGGGAAACAGGGUGCAGCUGAAAGGAGGCCACCCUGUUGCCUGUCACGCAACGCACAUGCAUGGGGAACCCGGUGCUAAAUUGUUCGUAGAUGACCUGCUUCUGGGCCAGGGUUUCAUAGGUAGCAGAGCAGCUCCCUCGCCUGUGAUCUAUUGAAAGUCAGCCCUUGACACAAGGGUUU